rnacentral:rRNA from 1 species
UGAGUAACGCGUGAGCAACCUGCCUUUCAGUGGGGGACAACAGUUGGAAACGACUGCUAAUACCGCAUAACACAGCGAGAUCGCAUGGUCUUGCUGUCAAAGAUUUAUCGCUGAAAGAUGGGCUCGCGUAUGAUUAGAUAGUUGGUGAGGUAACGGCUCACCAAGUCAACGAUCAUUAGCCGGACUGAGAGGUCGAACGGCCACAUUGGGACUGAGAUACGGCCCAGACUCCUACGGGAGGCAGCAGUGAGGAAUAUUGGGCAAUGGGCGAAAGCCUGACCCAGCAACGCCGCGUGAAGGAUGAAGGUUUUCGGAUUGUAAACUUCUUUUGUCAAGGACGAUAAUGACGGUACUUGACGAAUAAGCCACGGCUAACUACGUGCCAGCAGCCGCGGUAAUACGUAGGUGGCAAGCGUUGUCCGGAUUUACUGGGUGUAAAGGGCGAGUAGGCGGGUCUACAAGUCAGAUGUGAA